CGGGAAUUUCGUGGCCUGAAUGCGUGAACGCUAGUGCUUUAGCAUACUGGCCCCCAAAUUUUCGCU
rnacentral:miRNA from 1 species